CCCGAGGCAACUUGGUUGGGACCAGCUUGCUCUCAUGCUUGUCACCGGCUUCAUACCUCGAAGAUCU
rnacentral:sRNA from 1 species